rnacentral:misc_RNA from 1 species
CAGAGUUGCAAAACUCCCUACAACCAUCGCUGAAUCAGUACCCGUAACAGUUGCCUCUCGCUGCGGUCCGAGGCCCGUCCCCCCCUUCACUCGGGGUCGGCCGGCUCGCGGAGCUGCCCGCCGGAGUGCCGAACCAAACUCUUGAUUUUAUAGGCUCUCUGAGUACUUUGUAGAAUAAGUCA